rnacentral:rRNA from 1 species
CUGCGCGGAAGAUGUAACGGGGCUAAACCAUGCACCGAAGCUGCGGCAGCGACGCUUAUGCGUUGUUGGGUAGGGGAGCGUUCUGUAAGCCUGUGAAGGUGUGCUGUGAGGCAUGCUGGAGGUAUCAGAAGUGCGAAUGCUGACAUAAGUAACGAUAAAGCGGGUGAAAAGCCCGCUCGCCGGAAGACCAAGGGUUCCUGUCCAACGUUAAUCGGGGCAGGGU